GGGUGCAUCAGACAGGUGACCAGCAGCAAGAUGGUACCACAGUCUCACGCACUCCUCUUCCUGGUGUUCUGCAUCUCAGGUGUGUCUGGGGACAUCAUCAUGACCCAGUCUCCAAGCUCCGUGACUAGGUCUAUAGGAGAGAGUGUCACCAUCAACUGCAAGUCCAGCCAGAGUCUUCUGCACAGCUUUAUCCGGAAGAACCUCUUAGCCUGGUACCAGCAGAAACCCGGGCAGCGUCCUAAGCUGCUCAUCUACUACGCAUCCACCCGGGCAUAUGGAGUCCCCGACCGAUUCAGCGGCAGUGGGUCUGGGACAGAUUUCACCCUCACCAUCAGCAACCUCCAGGCUGAAGAUGUGGCGACUUAUUACUGUCAGCAGGAUGAUAGCUCUCCUCCCACAGUGCUGCAGCCUCGUACACAAACCUCCUCCCCAGGGCCGUGGGGCAGGGGGGCUGUGCUAUGCCAGCUGCUUCCUCCCUGCUCAGCCCUGUUUCUCCCUAAGCCGUAUGAGUUGCAGGUCUUCUGGCUGAACCGUGGAAGGAUUGCAAGGCUCUAA